rnacentral:lncRNA from 10 species
GUCCUGUUCCUGCGCUUCCCAAGCUGGGUAGAAACGGCGAGAGGCUGGGGGUUAGAAACGACAGGUUCCCGGCGGGCUGUGCCGGGGCUUCGCUGUGUGACCUUGGGCUGGCGUCUGGGCUCUCUGGGCCCUUGUUUCCGCGAGUUAAACGUAGGGGCGGGGGAGUUUCUCUGGCCCUGCCGCCUGUGACCUAAGGAGCCCCGUGACCUCUCCGACCCGAGCCCACCCCCGGCCCAGUCUGCGAGCAGCUCCGGGACAAGCACUCCCGGCGAAGACAUGUAGGCUCUCAGAGCCUGCGUUUCCCUCUGUAGAGCAGGCCUAGUUACUGUCUUCAGGGUGCACGCGUCUCCGUCCCCGACCCGCACCCUCACCGCCGGGGUAAGCUGAGCCAGGCCCAAGCGACAGCUGGGGUUGUCCGUGGGGCUGCAACCCAGGAGGAGGCCCCAACAAUAGAGCCCCAGAGGACGGAGACAAUGGGCCUCUCUGUCGGCCCAGCCGUCCCCGCCAUCCAAACAGAAGCAGCUGACGGAGGACUGCCGGGCUGGGAUCCCUGGGCUCCGCGGGGGCGGCUGUGUGCCAGGGCGGGGCACAAGGGAAGCGCACAGACGUUUGAAGAGGGGCCCCCGUGUGCCUGCCAUGAUUGCAUGAUGGCAUCUGAGCCUCACAACCUAAUCCUGAGAAAGGUGCCAUAAUCACCCCAACUUUAUCUUGAGGGAACUGAGGUUCGGGCCUGGAUUAAACCCAAACUCGGCCACCCGCCAGCAUAGUGGCUUUGGGCAGGUUGCUUCAGCCUUCUGGUCCUUCAUGUCUGCAUCUGAAAAUGAAGUACUGGGCCGGGUGCGGUGGCUCACGCCUGUAAUCCCAGCACUUUGGGAGGCCGAGGCGGGUGAAUCACCUGAGGUCAGGAGUUCGAGACCAUCCUGACCAACAUGGUGAAACCCCGUCUCUACUAAAAAUACAAAAAAUUAGCUGGGCGUGAUGAAGGGCGCCUGUAAUCCCAGCUACUCGGGAGGCUGGGGCAGGAGAAUCGCUUGAACCGGGGAGGGGAGGUUGCGGUGAGGCCGCGCCAUUGCAAUCCAGCCUGGGCGACAAGAGUGAGACUCCAUCUCAAAAAAAAAAAAAAGGAAGAAAAUGAAGUUCUGGUUGCACUUCAUUCUCUGGAUUUCAUGGGCAAGUCCAGGGAAUCAAGAGACAAUAAUGUUGAUUAUUAUUCAGAGACCAUCUGUCAUGUGCUAAGUUGAAGUCCAAAUGCUUUUUGCUUGUCGAACUCUUCUGACAGUCCUAGGAGGCAAACUAUUGUCAUCCCCAUUUUAUAGAUAAAGAAAUUGAGGCACAGAAUGGUGAAGUAACUCACUCAAAGGUCAGGGAUGUGGGCAGAUGUAAACCACAGAAGGAAUAAGUACUAUUUUAUAAAGUGACAGAGUGCAUGCAGUGGCCCUGUGGCAUUUGUGAGAGACCGACUUCCCCUCAGGGAACUUGCUCUGUAGUUUGGGAAGCCACACAGAUGAUCCUCUGGUUGGGAGAAUGAGGAUCUGGGCAGCCUGGACCUGAAGCUGAGGCCAAAGAGAGUGGGAUUGGUCUGAAUAAGUGGGUUUUUAAAUUUUUUUAAUUUUUAAAUUAUUUUUUAAGAGACACAGCCUCACUAUAUUGCUAAGGCUGGUGUCUAACUCCUGGGCUCAAGCGAUCCUCCCACCUUGGCCUUCCAAAGUGUUGGGAUUACAGGCAUGAGUCACAAUGCCUGGCCAAGGGUUUUUAAAAUUGUGUCCUGGUAGCUAAAGAGUUAAGUGGUCUGCGGAGGCCCUGGAGCUUGUGAACACCUUCAAACCACCAUGAAAGCCUGGGCCAACCGGCCGCAUUAUCACGUGGGGAAGAAAUAAGUGUUAUGCACGCUGCUGUGUUUGGGGGCCUCUUUGUUGCAGUAUCCUAGUGUGUCUGCUCACUAAGACACAGCACUGGGGACACAGCUGCACAGAGCAGAUGAGUUCAGAAAGCCUUUGUCAAGCUAAUAGUUUAGUGGGAGAGACAAGCCUUAACCUAGGAAGGAAAAUUGUGAUUACAAAAUGUGGUAACUGCUGUGAAAGGCAUAGGCUGAGACUGUGAGAGAGAGAAUAAUGGGGUCCCUGAUUUGGACAGUGGUCAGGGAAGGCCCCUUUGAAGAAAUACAUUUUUUCACUUUUUAACCAUAUGUAUUUUAUUUUUAAAUGGCAUUUAAUGAAACAAGACACUGACUUAUUGAACAUUGUAUACUUAACUGUUUUUCCCCUUUCAUGCAAUAUUGAAAUAUAUUUCAACUUAAAACAAAUAAGAAAGUCCCAAAUAUAACACUUCUUUUGAAAAAUACAGGCACGGCUGGGCGCGGUGGCUCACGCCUGUAAUCCCAGCACUUUGGGAGGCCAAGAUGGGCGGAUCACCUGAGGUCAGGAGGUCAAGACCAGCCUGGCCAACAUGGCGAAAUCCCAUCUCUACUAAAAAGUACAAAAAUUAGCCAGGUGUGGUGGCAGGUGCCUGUAAUCCCAGCUACUCAGGAGGCCAAGGCAGGAGGAGCUUGAAUCCAGGGGCGGAAGUUGCAGUGAGCUGAGAUCACGCUACUGCGCUCCAGCCUGGGCAACAAGAGCAAGACUGUCACACAAAAAAAGAAAAAUACAGGCACGCAAAGGAUAUUACAGAAAUGCACCAAACAUGAAUUAUUGGCACAGAUACAAUAUUUCAAAACACUAACUAAUAUUAGAUUGAGACAUCCUAUUACAACAUUAAAACCAUGCCCCUUUCAAUUCAAGUGAGCACCUCUAUUUCCAUUCCAAGACCCUGUGAUUUCAUACACAUUUAACACAACGGUAACAAUAACAGUAAUGCUAGCUAGUAUUUGUUAUGCCCUUAAUGAGUGCCAAGCUCAGCUAAAUAUGUAAAACAUGUUUUGUUUGUUUUAUUGGUGAAGAGAUGAGUUCUUAAACAACCAGAAGAUACUGCAGGUUCAAAGUCCCGGAGGCCAGAAGGAGCUUGCAUUCAAAUAAGAAAAUAUAUUUUCUCAAGGAAAUAUAAGUUGUAUUUCUAUGUAACUCUAUGCACCAGGAGGGCCCCAGCAAGAAAGAGAGGUCUCACUCCACAGGGAUUUCUGAAAAAAGUUUAAUGAACAGGCCAUUUACCUGAGAUGUGGGUGAGGUUGAGGGGACCAACAGGAGAUGGUGCAGCACCUGGGGUUGGCAACAGAGGGGAGGGAGCUCUCACCCCUAAACCUGAAGGGUCCAGGAGAGGGAGUGGUUUCCUGGAACCAGUGAGAAUAGCUAGUUAUGGGCCACGGGGAAGCCUGAGAGGAGGUUUGAGGCCACACAGUCACUGCCAAAACUAGGGGUACAUGGGGAAAAUACCCCAAAUUAGCUCUUCUCCCAGCCUCUGAUGCCCUGCUGGCACUUCCCAUUGGCUGGAUCGAACUGGAACCCCAAGAUCAAGGAAUCCUCUGUGAUGGCAUCCAUGAGGGUCCACUUCGUCGGGGAGCACCGAGCAGGGUGGGAAACCCUGGUGAGUGGGUCUGCAGGUUGGGGGUAAGCAGAGAAUGACCACUGAUGUUCUGAGCAACCUUGGAGAUUCCUCCAGCCUCGUGAGCCAGCUCUGUAACAGGAGUGAGCGGGCUUGAAAAAUAACCCUGCCUCCUGUCCCCAGUACUGCCUGCAAAGGUCUUGUUGACCUGGGACACUCACAUAUCCUGUCAACAUGGAAACCUGAUACUCACUCUUGGCUAUCUCUGCCUACCAUCUAUACCAAACUGGUGACCGGGUGAUGGCCAAGGGGAUGAGAAAUCACUGCACUGCUAGAGCCCCUGUGAGAGGCCCCAGUCUUGGUCUCAACCAGAUGAGUUGAGCAGGGCCUCUGGAGACCAGCUGGGAUAUCUGGACACCCUGGGUGGGUGAAAUCAUCACUCCCUGCUCUAGGCUCCUGGCAACAAGUCAUUUGCUCCAACUACCAGGACUGGCCCCAAGGGAACUCAUUAGUCCACACCAUUGCCAAUGACAAACCCAGCACACACACUCUGGGGUGUUACCUCAGCUGCACAGAUGAAGGGAGACACAGCCCACAGCUACAGGCACACACCCACGGUGCCAGAUUCAGAUGCACACACAGGCACAGACAGAGAUGCACCCUUAUAGUGAGUGCUGCCACACCCAGCCCCAUGCCUGGCUACCCCUGCCAAUCUCCUAGUCUCCGUCUUCCUGAUUGUCCCAGGAUAAAGUUGGGACACCCCAAAACACUGAGUGUCUUCACUGCCGUGUCCCCUCCCCAGAAAGGGACGUUCCUGGAGCACAGAUAUGAAAGGAAGGCACAGAUAUAGAUGUGAAUCUAGAUAUACAUAUGCCAAGGACAGAGUCAGGGUUUGUCAGGCCUGAUGUUCAUACAAUGAGGGAGGGACAGUUCUUUUUAAACAAAGGCCAGGUGUGGUGGCACAUGCCUGUAAUCCCAGCACUUUGGGAGGCCAAGGUGGGUGGAUCACCCGAGGUCAGGAGUUCAAGACCAGCCUGGCCAACAUGGUGAAACACCGUCUCUACUAAAAAUACAAAAAAAAUUUUAGCUGUGUUUGGUGGCAGCUGCCUGUAAUCCCAGCUACUCAGGAGGCUGAGGCAGGAGAAUCGCUUGAACCUGGGAGGCGGAGGUUGCAGUGAGCUGAGAUCGCGCCAUUGCACUCCAGCCUGGGUGACAAGAGCGAAACUCUGUCUCAAAAAAAAAGAUUAAAACUGUGAAUACAAAACUAGAGACCUGGGAAGGAGCCCAACUAAGAGAGGAGCCCCAGAGCUUAACAAGAAAUCAGCUUCUGUCGCACGCAGGAAACAGAGAGAUAACCCUACAAAUACACGUGGGAGCACAAACACAGGCACCCCAGGCUCUUCAAGCCACACACUAACACGCACAGACACCGGCAUGCAUGCGCACACAUGCUCCGCGCCUCAGGCGCUCUCAGGGCAGUCUAGGGAGGCCUCUGUGCACCAACCUUCAGAGAGGCCCCUGCAGCCCUGGCUUAGAUCUUAGGCUUCCCCCAGCUGCUUCUACAGCCACAGGCAUCUUCUGAGACCCUGCAUUUUGUUGUUACAGAGGAGCCAACCCUGCUCCCCACUCCAGCUUUCUCACCCUUCACCUCCGGCCCCAGGACAAGAUGAGCAGGAGGAGGGGGAGCUGCCCAACACUCACUAAGGAGUCAGCCUCUGGACCUCAGAGCCAGCAACACCCCCCUGCACUCACACCCCUACCUCAUCCUGCUGCCUUCUCCUGAGGAGGGGAAACUGAGGCCCAGAGAGGGAGGGCAUGAGCUUUAAUUUGAGUCCUCUGGGACGACAGCAGUACCUCAUCACAUGCACACAGAGAACCAACACACAUUUUUCUGGACCGCAGGAUAUUUUAAAAGGUUUUCUUUUUUAAUACAGAAAAGCAUAAAGAUGAAAAUGGCCCGUAAUGCUGCCACACAGAUAAUCCCAGUGGUAUUUUUAAAAUAAAGUUAACGAAUGCCCACGUUUGCAAAAUUCAAACCAUACCAAAGGAUUAUAAAAUGAAAACUAAAACUUUUUCCAUCACAGUCGCUCUCCCCAGAAACGAUGUCUCUUUGUUUCCUUCCUGAAGACAUUGGCAUGCCAGCAUUUUUUACCUAUAAAAAGAAAAUCACUCUGCCCACUGUUUUGGACCUUGCCAUUUUUUUCACCUAAAACACAUCUCGGCAGAUCUUUUCACAUCCACGCUGCUAAUCCGCCUCCUUCUUUCUAACGGCUGUGCUGUACCCUGUUGUACGAUUGUGUUUUCCGUGGGUGUGUAUUUACCGUAUUUCCAGUUUCUUUGCUCUUACAAUGUGCCAGCAGAUCCCCGAGGUACCUGAAUAUACUGCAAAUAUUUCCACAGGGCUAGGCACGAGCAGAGGCGCCGGGUCAAAGAGUAUGUGCAUUUUUAAUUCUUGGAGGGGCUCUUGGCUCACGUCUGUAACCCCAGC